rnacentral:rRNA from 1 species
ACGGGUGAGUAACGCGUGGGAAUCUACCGUACCCUACGGAAUAGCUCUGGGAAACUGGAAGUAAUACCGUAUACGCCCUUCGGGGGAAAGAUUUAUCGGGGUAUGAUGAGCCCGCGUUGGAUUAGCUAGUUGGUGGGGUAAAGGCCUACCAAGGCGACGAUCCAUAGCUGGUCUGAGAGGAUGAUCAGCCACAUUGGGACUGAGACACGGCCCAAACUCCUACGGGAGGCAGCAGUGGGGAAUAUUGGACAAUGGGCGCAAGCCUGAUCCAGCCAUGCCGCGUGAGUGAUGAAGGUCUUAGGAUUGUAAAGCUCUUUCACCGGAGAAGAUAAUGACGGUAUCCGGAGAAGAAGCCCCGGCUAACUUCGUGCCAGCAGCCGCGGUAAUACGAAGGGGGCUAGCGUUGUUCGGAAUUACUGGGCGUAAAGCGCACGUAGGCGGGUAUUUAAGUCAGGGGUGAAAUCCCAGAGCUCAACUCUGGAACUGCCUUUGAUACUGGGUAUCUUGAGUAUGGAAGAGGUAAGUGGAAUUGCGAGUGUAGAGGUGAAAUUUGUAGA